rnacentral:rRNA from 1 species
ACCAUGAGGGGGAAUAGACAGAAAGGCAAGGGUAACAACGGGCCAGCAGGCGCGGUAAUACGUAGGUGGCAAGCGUUGUCAGGAUUGAUUGGGCGUAGAGCGCGGGCAGGCGGUCUUUUAAGUCUGAUGGGAAAGCCCCCGGCUUAACCGGGGAGGGUCAUGGGAAACUGGAAGACUGGAGUGCAGAAGAGGAGAGUGGAAUUCCACGUGUAGCGGUGAAAUGCGUAGAUAUGUGGAGGAACACAAGUGGCGAAGGCGACUCUCUGGUCUGUAACUGACGCUGAGGCGCGAAAGCGUGGGGAGCAAACAGGAUUAGAUACCCUGGUAGUCCACGCCGUUAACGAUGAGUGCUAAGUGUUAGGGGGGUUCCGCCGCUUAGUGCUGUAGCUAACGCAUUAAGCACUCCGCCUGGGGAGUACGACCGCCAGGUUGAAACUCAAAGGAAUUUACGGGGGCCCGCACAAGCGGCUGAGCCGGUGGUUCACUUCGACGAAUCGAGCAAUACCUUCCACGGUCUU